rnacentral:rRNA from 1 species
CUGAGUACGGCGGAACACGUGAAAUUCCGUCGGAAUCCGGGAGGACCAUCUCCCAAGGCUAAAUACUCCCUAGUGACCGAUAGUGAACCAGUACCGUGAGGGAAAGGUGAAAAGCACCCCGGAAGGGGAGUGAAACAGUUCCUGAAACCGUGUGCCUACAAGUAGUUAGAGCCCGUUAAUGGGUGAUAGCGUGCCUUUUGUAGAAUGAACCGGCGAGUUACGAUUUGUUGCAAGGUUAAGCGGAAAAAGCGGAGCCGUAGCGAAAGCGAGUCUGAAUAGGGCGCAUAAGUAACAGGUCGUAGACCCGAAACCAGGUGAUCUACCCAUGUCCAGGAUGAAGGUAAGGUAAUACUUACUGGAGGUCCGAACCCACGCACGUUGAAAAGUGCGGGGAUGAGGUGUGGGUAGCGGAGAAAUUCCAAUCGAACUUGGAGAUAGCUGGUUCUCUCCGAAAUAGCUUUAGGGCUAGCCUCGAGGUAAAGAGUCAUGGAGGUAGAGCACUGUUUGGACUAGGGGCCCUUCUCGGGUUACCGAAUUCAGAUAAACUCCGAAUGCCAUGUACUUAUACUCGGGAGUCAGACUGCGAGUGAUAAGAUCCGUAGUCGAAAGGGAAACAGCCCAGACCACCAGUUAAGGUCCCCAAAUAUAUGUUAAGUGGAAAAGGAUGUGGGGUUGCUUAGACAACCAGGAUGUUGGCUUAGAAGCAGCCACCAUUGAAAGAGUGCGUAAUAGCUCACUGGUCGAGUGACCCCGCGCCGAAAAUGUACCGGGGCUAAACAUAUUACCGAAACUGUGGAUGAACCUCUUUAGAGGUUCGUGGUAGGAGAGCGUUCUAAGGGCGGUGAAGUCAGACCGGAAGGACUGGUGGAGCGCUUAGAAGUGAGAAUGCCGGUAUGAGUAGCGAAAGAAGGGUGAGAAUCCCUUCCACCGAAUAUCUAAGGUUUCCUGAGGAAGGCUCGUCCGCUCAGGGUUAGUCGGGACCUAAGCCGAGGCCGAUAGGCGUAGGCGAUGGACAACAGGUAGAGAUUCCUGUACCAGUGCUAAUUGUUUAACCGAUGGGGUGACACAGAAGGAUAGGGAAUCGCACGAAUGGAAAUGUGCGUCCAAGCAGUGAGUGUGAGAAGUAGGCAAAUCCGCUUCUCGCGAAGCAUGAGCUGUGAUGGGGAAGGAAAUUAAGUACGGAAGUUCCUGAUUUCACGCUGUCAAGAAAAGCCUCUAGGAAGAGUAGUACUGCCCGUACCGCAAACCGACACAGGUAGAUGAGGAGAGAAUCCUAAGGUGAGCGAGAGAACUCUCGUUAAGGAACUCGGCAAAAUGACCCCGUAACUUCGGGAGAAGGGGUGCUCUAUUAGGGUGCAAGCCCGAGAGAGCCGCAGUGAAUAGGCCCAGGCGACUGUUUAGCAAAAACACAGGUCUCUGCAAAACCGUAAGGUGACGUAUAGGGGCUGACGCCUGCCCGGUGCUGGAAGGUUAAGAGGAGUGCUUAGCUUCGGCGAAGGUACGAAUUGAAGCCCCAGUAAACGGCGGCCGUAACUAUAACGGUCCUAAGGUAGCGAAAUUCCUUGUCGGGUAAGUUCCGACCCGCACGAAAGGCGCAACGAUCUGGGCACUGUCUCAACGAGAGACUCGGUGAAAUUAUAGUACCUGUGAAGAUGCAGGUUACCCGCGACAGGACGGAAAGACCCCGUGGAGCUUUACUGCAACCUGAUAUGGAAUGUUUGUACCGCUUGUACAGGAUAGGUAGGAGCCGAAGAGACGUGUGCGCUA